rnacentral:lncRNA from 11 species
CAAGAUCACUGUGGGUUUGUCCCUAGAUUGGGUGUGGAUUUUCCUGAAAGAUUCGAAUCAUUGCUCGUGCUUUAUUUAACCUGGGGUCAAGCCAGAGUAAAAGGCUGACCCUGGAUUAAAGCACAUUCUCCUAGGUGCAUCGUUUGAACUCCCCAGGCUAAUGUGCCGAACCACUACAUCAUCCAGCAAAAAUUGGCUUGAAUCAUGGGCACCAGGUGACUCCGAAAUUGUCUUCCCUAGAAGCAUCUCUCGUUUGACACUUGAAAAUUAAUGAACAUGUUGAAAAGAGUUAGACCCAAAUGACUUGUCCAAGGUCAUGUUGCAGCGUGUGGCAGAGCAGAUAAGAAGAUACAGUAGCAAUGCCUCCUGGUCUCAUGGAGCAGACAACUGCUUUCUCUAAGCUGCAUAAUGAAUGAUUAAACCUUCAAGACUGUAACAACCUGAAGUGGGAAUAUUCCACUAUGUUCUAUGUUUUGGGUAUAUUAAACUUUAAUGAGUAUGCUUCAGAACAAAAUAUUUCAAUUCUGAGGAUUUGUCUUACCAAAAGAAGAGCCAAACAUAGUUAAUAUUUCAAAUGAUGAAUUGUAAAGAAAGGAAAAAUAUGCCCCAAAGCACUUUAAAAAAUCUAAUGUGCUCUGUUUCCUUUUCUAGAUACAUUUUGGUGCCCAAAAGUUGAGAACUCAGCAUUAUAAACCAGGACUUGUUGUCAGUUCUAAUUUAGAGAGACGGAGACAGCUUUAUACAGCAGCUCCAUGGCCUGGAGCUGUCUGUCUUGCAGUCGAAGUCCCACUGUGUCAAUUGCAUGUCCUUGAACAUUUCAGGUAGACUCACAGCACUGGGAUUUGCCAUCCUUGUGGAUUUCAGGUGUGUAAACAACCGCUCUCCGCUUUCCUAAUUUAUUAUGAGAUAAUGAGGUAGUGAGG